AUUUCUUUUGUCAAACUGGAUCGUCUGCUUCCUCUGCCAACUGAAAUCCAACACAUUCGGUCAUAGCACCAUCAGGGGAGAGUUUCCACACUUCAUCUUCCCCCUUUCUUCCCUUCUGCGUGUUCCACGCACCAAACUUCCCUGCUGACAGCCCAAAGGUAUUAGUCAUGUGACUGUUUGGACCGCGCAAUCGUCGGAGACUAAAUGACCUCACCAGGGGUUUCAUGAUACACAGAUCAUGCUAGUCUAUAAUCUACAGUUGUCUUGCCACAGGCUACAGAGUGCUGGGACCACAGGGCUGUUCCAGCUGGCAUCUUGAGAACGGGGCAACUGAGGCUGAGAUUUGGGUGUGAGACACGGUGUUUCUCAGGCGACCGAGCGAUGGUGUAGUUCCCCCUCCAGAUCAUUGUGUGUUUGGCAGCGAGCGGAUCGAUCUCCUCGCCACAUUCUCUUGUGGAUUAGGUAACUGUGGGGAAAAGACGUAGGAAAUGAAAAGCGUGGCUAAGGGCCAGCGCCAUGGCUCAGCCGGCAAAAGCGCUUGUGGCACAAACCUGGCAACCUGAGUUUGAUCUCUGGAACCACAGUGGACAGAGAGAACCAACUCUACACAGUUAUCCCCUGACUUCCACAUGACUCAUGUGUGGGCUGUGGCACAUGGACACCCAUAUUUACACACACACACACACACACACACACACACACACACGCACUAAAUUUUUAUAAACUGAAACGAUAGUUUUUCUCAAAAAUGUUUAUUAAGUUUAUUUUUUUAGUGUGGUGUGUGUGUGUACACACACACACACGUACGUACACACCAUGGCAUUCAUGUGGACAGCACGUGGGCCCGGUGACUAAACGCAGGGCAUCAGGAUUGGUAGUAAGUACCUUUGCCUGCCGAGCCAUCUCACCAAUCUGUUCUCAUUUUAAAGCACCCUCAUGGGAUCUGAGGUACCAGAGAAAUUACCUGCAGAUGGGAGAAAUUGAAACCCAGAGAAGAUAAGCACCUGCUUCGGCAUCACACAGCAAAUGUGUAUCUGGGCUGGGACUAGAGUCCAGAGUCCUCGGGUCCUGGUUGCACCCUUCCAUUAUUAUUGGUCUGUCUGUCGACUGUCAUGGAGAAUUCUUUUUUCUUUUUCAUUGAUUCUUCUUUUCAGAGUCUAAAAAGAGCCAAGAUGAGCCAGGAAACUCUGGGAGCCCUGAUUCACUUCCAAAGGCAAUGCGUUUUCUGUGGCCCGCUGCAUGGAUUGCUGUUCCUAUUAAGGUUUUCCACGUUUCGCAUAAAAGCAUGCAAAUUGCCGCAGCAACUAAAUGAAAUCAGUUUCAGUAUCCAGGGUUUAUACACACAGAGACUCUUGCUUUCCCUUGCUCUCUUUCUCUCUCUCUUCCUGGCUCAACUCUACCCCCCUCCCCAAUUCCAUUAACAUGCAAUUUUUAAAUAAAACACUUAGAUGUGUAUGUUGGUGAAAUCUUUUAACAUUUUUCUUUCUCUCAGUUUUAUAUUAUGAUCACCCGUGAUGUUCUGUGAUCAUAAACAUUUGGCAAGUUUCACAGUAUAUUAAUAUGGUAGAGUAACGGUCUCAGUGUUUCUAAUGAGUCAGGGAAGGAGUGGGGAGCAGCUCGGAUGAGGCAAA